rnacentral:rRNA from 1 species
CGUCCGUUGUGAAAAGGGAAACAACCCAGACCGUCAGCUAAGGUCCCGAAAUCCUGGUUAAGUGGGAAACGAUGUGGGAAGGCUUAGACAGCUAGGAGGUUGGCUUAGAAGCAGCCAUCCUUUAAAGAAAGCGUAAUAGCUCACUAGUCGAGUCGGCCUGCGCGGAAGAUGUAACGGGGCUCAAACCAGGUACCGAAGCUACGGGUGUGUUCGCAUCACUUAAGGUGAUUCGAUAGUGUCAGUUCGCUGCCAUCGCGAAGCGAUGGCAAAGCGCUUCCCGAACGUUGAGUCGGGCAGGGCAAGGUGAACGGCCUGAGUCAUUUUAAGGAUGCGAACACGCGGUAGAGGAGCGUCGUGUAAGCCGAUGAAGGUGUGUUGAGAAGCAUGCUGGAGGUAUCACGAGUGCGAAUGCUGACAUGAGUAACGACAAGGGGAGUGAAAAACUCCCCCGCCGGAAGACCAAGGGUUUCUGUUCGACGCUAAUCGGAGCAGAGUGAGUCGGCCCCUAAGGCGAGGCCGAAAGGCGUAGUCGAUGGGAAACGGGUCAAUAUUCCCGUACCUCACAGUAUUGCGAUGGGGGGACGAAGAAGGCUAGGUGAGCCAGGCGUUGGUUGUCCUGGUGAAAGCCGGUAGGCUGAGGAUUCAGGUAAAUCCGGAUCCUUAAGGCCGAGAGGCGAGACGAACUGACUACGGUCAGGAAGUCAUC